UUAUAUGAGCUCUAAAGUCGCUCGUAGCCGUGUUUUGUAAAUCUUCAGAUAAAGCCUGAAGCUUAACUCCAGAAAGUCUGAAGAGACUGCAAGACUUGAGAUCGGGUGAGGUUAAACGUACUUUCAGGGUAGGGGUAAAAUCCUGUAAUCCCGGAAGGACGACCAGUGGCGAAAGCGUUUAACUAGAACGAAUCUGACGGUAAGGAACGAAGGCUAGGGUAGCAAACCGGAUUAGAUACCCGGGUAGUCCUAGCUGUAAACAUUGCCCAUUUGAUGUUGCUUUUCCGUUGAGGGAAGGCAGUGUCGGAGCGAAGGUGUUAAAUGGGCCGCUUGGGAAGUAUGGUCGCAAGACUGAAACUUAAAGGAAUUGGCGGGGGAGCACCGCAACGGGAGGAAUGUGCGGUUUAAUUGGAUUCAACGCCGGAAAACUCACCGGGAACGACCUGUGCAUGAGAGUCAACCUGACGAGCUUACUCGAUAGCAGGAGAGGUGGUGCAUGGCCGUCGUCAGCUCGUACCGUAGGGCGUUCACUUAAGUGUGAUAACGAGCGAGACCCACAUCUUUAAUUGCAAAUGUAUAUGAGAAUAUGCAUGCACUCUAGGGAAACCGCCAGCGCUAAGCUGGAGGAAGGAGUGGUCGACGGCAGGUCAGUACGCCCCGAAUUUCCCGGGCUACACGCGCAUUACAAAGAACGGGACAAUACGUUGCAACCUCGAAAGAGGAAGCUAAUCGCGAAACCCGUCCAUAGUUAGGAUUGAGGGCUGUAACUCGCCCUCAUGAAUCUGGAUUCCGUAGUAAUCGCGGGUCAACGACCCGCGGUGAACAUGCCCCUGCUCCU
rnacentral:rRNA from 1 species